GCGGAUAUGCAUAUCAAUAAGCGGAGGAAGAUUCCGUAGGUGAACCUGCGGAUCGCAUAUCAAUCAGCGGAGUAAGAUUCUGUAGGCGCACAUGAGGAUUCCCUAAUCAAUUAGCAGAUUAAACAUCCGAACUCUUGGAUCUGGAUUCGAUGAAGAACGCAGCGAAAUGCGAUACGUAGUGUGAAUUGCAGAAUUCAGUGAAUCAUCGAAUCUUUGAACGCACAUUGCGCCCUUUGGUAUUCCAAAGGGCAUGCCUGUUCGAGCGUCAUUUGUACCCUCAAGCUUUGCUUGGUGUUGGGCGUCUUUUGUCUCCAGUUCGCUGGAACUCGCCUUAAAGUCAUUGGCAGCCGGCCUACUGGUUUCGGAGCGCAGCACAAGUCGCGCUCUUUGCCAGCCAAGGUCAGCGUCCAGCAAGCCUUUUUUUCAACCUUUGACCUCGGAUCAGGUAGGGAUACCCGCUGAACUUAAGCAUAUCAAUAGCCGGAGGAAGAUCCGUCUUGUG
rnacentral:rRNA from 1 species